rnacentral:lncRNA from 1 species
UAGGUCUUUCCACGGAAAGGUGGAAAGACCUAAUGAUCAGAACAAAAAAUAGGUCUUUCCACGGAAAGGUGGAAAGACCUAAUAAUAAUAAUAAUAAUAAUUAAAAACCAAUUGUUCAGAGAACAAUUGAAGGUCUUUCCAUUAGUAAAGAUCUAUUUUGAUAUUAAAAUAUGAAAAAUCAGUUUAAAAUGUUAGUUCCUAUGGCUUUAUGAUGUAUUUAUAUGAAUUUAAAGCAAAGGUCAAAAUCUAGAACGUCCUAUUAACCUAUGACCUUGACCUCAAUUUCAAGGUCACAAACCAAGGACCUUAAAUCAAAAGACCCUAGGUCUUUAAUAUGUUUGGUUAAUGAGUAAUACCACUUUACGCGUAAUUCUAAAUGUAAGAUGGACAAAAACUCCAAUUUAUUGUAUGCGCACCCUUUCAACCAAAAUAUACAAGUAAGGACAUGUCGCAACUAACAAUUUAGGAAAAAAUAUUUGUCGAUAUGUCAUACGGUAUUUGAAAAUAAGUGAAAAUAAGCCAAAAUCAAAUUUUAGAAUAUGACCUUGACCUUUGACCUUGACCUUAUUUUCAUUUUUUUGGACCAAGGAUCUCAAAUCAAGAGACCCUAGGUCUCUAUCACUUAUGGUUUACCAGUUAGAAACGCAUAUCACUUAUAUCAAAUACAUAAGGGGA